rnacentral:tRNA from 1 species
UGGCUUAGUUGGUUAAAGUACCGGUCUAGCGAAUACGGAUUCGUGGGUUCAAAUCCCAC